rnacentral:rRNA from 1 species
CUGCUGCCUCCCGUAGGAGUUUGGACCGUGUCUCAGGUCCAAUGUGGGGGACCUUCCUCUCAGAACCCCUACGCAUCGUCGGCUUGGUGGGCCGUUGCCCCACCAACUACCUAAUGCGCCGCAUGCCCAUCCGUGACCGGGGUCGCCCCCUUUGACCGGCAGGGGAUGUCCCCUCCCGGCAUUAUGUUGUAUUAGGCGGGAUUUCUCCCGGUUAUCCAUCUGUCACGGCCAGGCUGCAUACGUGUUACUCACCCGUGCGCCGGUCGCCGGCGG